AACCUUUGCUGUCUUGGGACGGAUCACCGCUGCAAGAGGGGAAGUUGCUACUGUGAUGAAUUCUGCCAUGUGGCACCAGACUGCCACCCAGACCACAGUGUCCUCUGCAACCCUGGUAACUCACAUACAGGCCCGAUUCCACCUACAGCAAAGCUGGAUGCGAUGGCUGGCAGAGGCAAACCCUUUGCCUGCACUUCAGGCCAAAGCCGGGAUGUGGCCUAGAUGGUUCCUAAGGUCCCUGACAAUCCUGAGAUCUUGCAUCUUGUCUAUUUCAGGUCAAAGCUUCUCAGAUGACCAAGAUGGUGCUGCAGAUGGUGCUGAGGAUGGAGAACCCACCAAGCCCCGCUAGGAGCCACCUAGACUGGAUGCAGAGCAUGGUGAGCUCCCUGCAGGUUCUCUGAGAAGGGGUGGAUGGCAGCCUGCUCCUUGCCUUUGUGCCCUCCAGGCCCCAAAGUCAGGGAACCAAAAGAAGAAAGGGGCCGUAGCUAGGGCAGAGCUCCACUGCAAUGAUUGUUUUAGGGGUAGGAGCCAGGAUUGCCGUCUGUGGACACUGAAAUUUGAAUCUCAUAUACUUUUGUGACAAAACAUUCUUCCUCUUUUGUUCUUCUCCUACCAUCUAAAAAUGUAGAAAACAUUCUUAGCCUAUGAGUUGCACAAAAACAGGCAGUGGCCAGAUUUGGCCCAUAGACCAUAGUUUGCUGACUUCUGCCCUAAAUCAUCCUCCAUUUCUUUCCUUCUGUGUCCUUGUUACUGACAAAGCCACUUUCCCUAAAAUGGGGUCUUUCCCUGUUUGGUGCCAUGAAGCCAAUAUGCAAAACCGAAAGUGAGCCUCAAGCAGUGCAGGCUUUAUUUGGUGGCCAUGGAAUUGAGAAGUGAGAGCUUGGCUCACAAAUCAACUUUUCUGCUCGUGAGACCCAGGAAGUCACAGAUACAGGGCAUCUUUAGUGAAGGGGCUGAGCAUUAAAAGCAAGGGGAGGAGUGGCCAGGUGCAAUGGCUCACUCCCAUAAACCCAGAACUUUGGGAGGCCAAAAUGAGAGGAUUGCUGAGACCAGGAGUUCGAGACCAUCCUGGUCAACAUAGUGAUACACCCCCAUCUCUACAAAAAUAAAAAUGAAAAAAGCA
rnacentral:lncRNA from 10 species